rnacentral:tRNA from 1 species
GGUCUUAUAUUCAAAAUUAUGAAAUUUGAUUGCAGAUCUUAAAGUGGUACAACCUAAGACUU